ACGAGUGGCGGACGGGUGAGUAAUGUCUGGGAAACUGCCCGGUGGAGGGGGAUAACUACUGGAAACGGUAGCUAAUACCGCAUAACGUCGCAAGACCAAAGAGGGGGACCUUCGGGCCUCUUGCCACCGGAUGUGCCCAGAUGGGAUUAGCUUGUUGGUGAGGUAACGGCUCACCAAGGCGACGAUCCCUAGCUGGUCUGAGAGGAUGACCAGCCACACUGGAACUGAGACACGGUCCAGACUCCUACGGAAGGCAGC
rnacentral:rRNA from 1 species